UACAGAGGUCCCAAGCGUUGUUCGGAUUUACUGGGCGUAAAGGGUGCGUAGGUGGUUGGGUAAGUUUGAUGUGAAAUCUCCGGGCUAACCCGGAAAUGGCAUUGAAUACUAUUCGGCUAGAGGUUUGGAGGGGGGACUGGAAUUCUUGGUGUAGCAGUGAAAUGCGUAGAUAUCAAGAGGAACACCAGUGGCGAAGGCGAGUCCCUGGACAACACCUGACACUGAGGCACGAAAGCUAGGGGAGCAAACAGG
rnacentral:rRNA from 1 species